GACGAACGCUGGCGGCGUGCUUAACACAUGCAAGUCGAACGGAAAGGCCCCUUUGGGGGUACUCGAGUGGCGAACGGGUGAGUAACACGUGAGUAACCUACCCUUGACUUCGGGAUAACUUCAGGAAACUGGGGCUAAUACCGGAUAGGAAUCCUUGCUGCAUGGUGGGGGUUGGAAAGCUUCGGCGGUUUUGGAUGGACUCGCGGCUUAUCAGCUUGUUGGUGGGGUAGUGGCUUACCAAGGCUUUGACGGGUAGCCGGCCUGAGAGGGCGACCGGCCACAUUGGGACUGAGAUACGGCCCAGACUCCUACGGGAGGCAGCAGUGGGGAAUAUUGCACAAUGGGCGGAAGCCUGAUGCAGCAACGCCGCGUGCGGGAUGACGGCCUUCGGGUUGGAAACCGCUUUCAGCAGGGGCGAAGCUUGUGGUGACGGUACCUGCAGAAGAAGCACCGGCUAACUACGUG
rnacentral:rRNA from 1 species